rnacentral:lncRNA from 1 species
ACAUGAAGUAUUGUUGAAAAACAUCCCUGGGUGAGACAGGCUCCUUUCUAAUGCUGCCUUGCAGGAGGGUGCUGACAGAAUGGUUGUUGCCUGGUACUUCUGAAGGAAUUAACAUCCGAUUGAACUCCACGUACGCAGAGAGGACAAGGCACCCAUCAAAUCAUGGUGUUGCAUCUCAACACACAGCCACAUCUCAGACAUGUACAGCAGCCUCUCUGGGGCAGGAGGGACCAGGGAACAGACCUCAGUGAUGGCUGCCUCUCCCACAAGCAGGAUGGGGUGCUCUUGCUUCUACAGCAAUACGUGGAAGGUUUUGUUUGUUUAAUUCUCCUGUGAGGCUGUUAUACGGUAUGUCCAGGAAAAUAUCUUUUUUUUUUUUCCUCUUUGGUUUGAAUCCGUUG